UGCCAGCCGCCGCGGUAAUACGGAGGGGGGUAGCGUUGUUCGGAAUUACUGGGCGUAAAGCGUACGUAGGCGGAUUAAUAAGUUAGAGGUGAAAUCCCAGAGCUUAACUCUGGAACUGCCAUUAAAACUUCUCAGCUAGAGUAUGAUAGAGGAAAGCAGAAUUUCUAGUGUAGAGGUGAAAUUCGUAGAUAUUAGCAAGAAUACCAAUUGCGAAGGCAGCUUUCUGGAUCAUUACUGACGCUGAGGAACGAAAGCAUGGGUAGCGAAGAGGAUUAGAUA
rnacentral:rRNA from 1 species